CCUACGGGAGGCAGCAGUGGGGAAUCUUGCGCAAUGGGCGAAAGCCUGACGCAGCCAUGCCGCGUGAAUGAUGAAGGUCUUAGGAUUGUAAAAUUCUUUCACCGGGGACGAUAAUGACGGUACCCGGAGAAGAAGCCCCGGCUAACUUCGUGCCAGCAGCCGCGGUAAUACGAAGGGGGCUAGCGUUGCUCGGAAUUACUGGGCGUAAAGGGAGCGUAGGCGGAUAGUUUAGUCAGAGGUGAAAGCCCAGGGCUCAACCUUGGAAUUGCCUUUGAUACUGGCUAUCUUGAGUAUGGGAGAGGUAUGCGGAACUCCGAGUGUAGAGGUGAAAUUCGUAGAUAUUCGGAAGAACACCAGUGGCGAAGGCGGCAUACUGGCCCAUUACUGACGCUGAGGCUCGAAAGCGUGGGGAGCAAACAGGAUUAGAUACCCUGGUAGUCCACGCUGUAAACGAUGAGUGCUAGUUGUCGGCAUGCAUGCAUGUCGGUGACGCAGCUAACGCAUUAAGACACUCCGCCGUCGGGGUAGGUACGGUCGGCGAAGAAGUUAAAACGUUAAAACGGUAAAGUUAGUACGGCGUGAGACGUGCCGACGGACGACGACGAGGGAGGUUAGG
rnacentral:rRNA from 1 species